CGCCGGCGGGGGUGUCGCGGCGCUGCUCGCGGCACCCCGGCUCCCGCCGCCUCACCUCGCUCGAUAUUGGUGAUGGCCCGCCGCAGGUGCUCCUCGGUCACCAGCUCGCCGAUGACCACCAGCAGUAGCAGCAAAGGAGCUCAUCAUUUGGGGAAGAAGAGGAAGAAGGUUGAUUCUGGUACGAUUCCCCUUCAGCCUCACAAAACCCAGGGCAUUGCACAAAGGUGUCAUCUUUCUAUGACAGAACUUGGACAAAGGGAUUUUUGAGAAGCCUGAUACAAGGACCUGGGAGCUUCCCUGUAGUUAUUAACAGAAAGGAAUGUUAUCGAUUUCAACACCUGAGAAAAAUCAAAGCAAUCCUGACAUCAAGGUGACCAUAAAAAGAUGCUUGCUUGGUAAUUCAAACCAUGAGUUUUGACAAAGAACUUUCACAGAGACAAAAAACAUUCACAGAAUCUCACAGUAAAGUUUGUUCCUUGUUUUCUCUAUGGCUAGAACAGUUCUUGUCAUUUACUGCACAAUGAAAAUAGUUUACGCUCUAAUUUUCAACAGUCCCCAGUUACAUUAGAAAUUCUAGCCCAACACUCUUAUAUUACUCCCUGAAACCCAAUAUCCUGCAUCUUCACAGCUCACACACACAUUUAAACUGAAUGCUUUUAUUUGGAUUAUUGCAGCUAGAACAGAAAGAAUCAUUACAACAUCUCCUCGAUGAAACACAGAGUUUGUAUGAUGCACACAAUAUAAUUCCACUUGGAAGGGAACAACCCCAGAACAGGAUGUGACCCUCACUCAAUACCUAAGGAGACACAGCACAGCUUUGACAUGGCAUGACUGCAUUGCUACUCAACAGCAAUAAAGAUAUGUGUUCAAGAAGUGUGCGAGGCCAGGCUGGAUGAGGCUUUGGGCAACCUGGUCUAGCAAAAGUUGUCUUUGUCCAUAGUAGAAGGGUUGGAACUAAGUUUGAUCUUUAAGGUCCUUUCCAAACUCAAUAAUUCUGUAAUGGUUAAUAUUCCAGACAAAGCCUUGGAUUACAUGUAAUUCCCCCUACAUGCUAAAAAAUGUAAAAUCUGUACACUACCAUCUAAAAAAUAAGCGUAUGAAGCCCCAGACUUUCACUUGGGAAUACUCUGUUUGGGGCCAUAUAACUGUUUUUGGUAAUGUUCUUGUAGCAACUUGAACUUAAAAGAUUAAUUAGGUGCCAAAUUCCACCAAAAUGAUCAGGAAAAAAGAGGCAAGACAUUAAGAAACCAAGAGCCGUACAGCUUCUUAGUUUUGUAUUGUCAUGGACUCUUUCAGCCCCAAAAGAGAAGGAAUAAUAUCUUUGACUCUGAUCUCUUAUCCUGGAUUAUUUCAGUUACUGGAUCUUUUUUCCUAUACAAAACACAGCUGGUUUUUUUUCAUGAAUUAACUUCUGACAGAGAAUCAGCUUUGGUGAAGUAACAGAUUUGAGUUUCUGAAACAGUUACUUCAGGCUUGGGUAAGCACUUCUGUAGAUGAGGAGCAGAGCUAUUUCCAGGUCCAUUAGAGAAUAAGAGUGAUGCCAUGGUGAUCAAUGCAAUUAUUUUGCUUCAGAUGGAAAUGGUUUGGCAGGGACAUUGCAAAGGGACAUUAACUGAAAUCUUUAUUUUUUAUUAGAUAAAUGAUGAAGAUGGUUUCUAUGUUGUUUUAAAUGGAUGUUUGCUCACUUGUAUUUUUCAGUGUAAUCUGUAAUCCAGUAAAUUUACAAUCCUUUUAAUAAACAUAAGUCUAAAAAUAGUAUUUGGUAAUCAGGACACAGGAUGUACAGAAUAGCAAUUUAGUAGUCUACAUCUAAUUGCUGAAAAACAUACCUGAAAGUGGAAAAUACAUAGAAUGAUCAUAGAAGGUUGGGUGGAAAAAGACCUUUAAGAUUAUUAAAUCAAAUACUGCAAAGUCCUCAGGUAAACCAAAUCCCUCUCUAAGUGCCACAUCUAUACAUCUUAAGUACCUCCAGGGAUACUGACUCAUCCACUACCCUGGGGAGCCUGUUCUAAUGUUUGACAGCCCUUUCAGUGCAGAAAUUUUUCCUAGUAUACAAUCUAAACCUCCCCUGGUGAAACUUGACCGCAUUUCCUCUUGUCCUAUCACUUCUUACCUAGGAGAAGAGACUAACCCUCAUGUCUCUGUAACCUCCUUUUAGGUAAUUGUGGAGUGUGGUAAGUCACAUUUCACACCCCACCCCAGCCCUGAGCCUCCUCUUCCCCAGGCUAAACACCCUCAGCUCCCUCAGCUGCUCUUCACAGGACUUGUGCUCCAAAACCUUCUGCAGCUUCAUUGUCCUUCUCUGGACAUGCUCCAGCACCUCUUUUCUUCUAGUGAGUUGCUCAAAACUGAACACAGGAUUCGAGAUGUAACUCCCCCCACAUCCAAAAAAGAAUGGAGAUUCUCCUUAGCUCUCUUUCUGUUGUUAAUGCAUUUAUAGAAUAGGAUACAGACUUUAUGUUCCAGUUAUGAAACAAUAUAAAUAUAGAAGAAAUAUUAUAUUCCUUCUUUUGUUACAAACAAGGGGCAUAUGCCAUGAACAGCAUUUUGCUUUCACUUAAAUUCUUUAUAAUCAUUAUUCCUUCUUUUCAACUGAACCAGCCCCACCACCCCCCAACAGAAAAAAAAAAAAAAAAAAAAAAAAAAAAAAAAAAAAACAAACCAAAAAAAACCACCAAAAAUAAACCCCCAUAAGCUAGUGAUGGAUGAACUAGCUAAAACGUGGUUUAAAGCUGUCUACAUGCUUGAUAUAUGUGUACAACAGCAUUCAACAUUUGAAAAAAUAAAGUGAGCUGCCAUGAGAUAAGAUUCCAUGAGAUAUUUGACAGAUCCCCUUUAAUUUGCAUGCUGGGUAAUGCUGGAGUUGUUGGAUGGAUGCCAUGAGUACAGCUCUGAAAAAACUAUCCAGAUAAUUUUGAUUUUGUCCUCCAUCAGUGUAAUGAUAUCACAGGAGGCUGAUGAUGGAAUUUCUUGUUUGAGGCAUGACGCUCCUUGCAAUUUUGAUUCUUUUACCCAGCAAUCAUGUUCUUAUGAACUGAGGUCCUGACAGGAACAUUUUCAUACCCCUACCUUUAUGGGUACCUUUUUUUCCUUUCCUUUUAAGAAAGAAGCCAGGCUAUUUGUUCAUUUUUCAUGAUAAAUUUGAACCGUGAUGUGACCAUUGCAUUUUCCCUUUUUCCUUAUUUUUUCAGUUGCUAUCUUAUGGACUUGUUUUCUUUCACUGACAAGGAGCCAAUUAAUAGAUUCUUAAGUGGUAUGAUUUGUUAUUCAGUAUCAAUGUAGUAAAUCCUUUCGUGUAGUUUGCCAAAAACCAGAGGCCUUAAUUUCCCUGGUUUCACAUUCCUGCUUCAGCUGGCAAUGUUGGAAAUGCAAUAAUAAAAAAAAAAAUUGGAUGCAUAUAAUGAUUUUCCUAUAAAUAUGAGAUAUCACUUGGCCGUCAAAAUGGAUGAUCACAUUGUGUUUUACUGAUAAAUGGUGUUUACCUUUUAGAUUUAAUGUAUAAUUUUUAAAAAUGCUUUAACUUGCAAAACAAAAACAUCUACAAAGUAGUGGUGCUUUCUUUGAAGGCACAGGCACAUAUGCUUCAUAUCUCAGUAGUAACACACUGAUUCGCAGCAACCACAGCUUCUGUGACAUGUGUUUGGAUUAAAGUAAUAAAAUAAAUGAAAUGUUUGGAUUCCAAAAUACUGGCCAGAUCUUUUAUUUAUUGACGAAUGUAAAAGAACUUGCUUUUGAGGGUAUGCAGGAGGAGGCAGGGAGCAGUUGGAUGCACUCGAAUGAAACCAAUUUACAGAGCAGUCUUUAUUCUGACAGAAAAAAACACAGUCACUGUCUUAUUGUCCACAGCCAAUCACAUCAGUGUGAGACUGGGCACUGCUUUCAAAUUACAUUGGACUGACAUAUACUUAUUUAUUAAUCCCAUCCCUUGAGCAGGCACUAUUUAAUUGCAUACUCAGACAAAGUUUAGUACAAGUCGGAUCAGAAGAUUCAUGAAAGAAUCAUGAUGAAACUGGAUUUGAUCUUAAUAUCUACAUCACUUGUCAAAUCUUUAUUCAUGAAAUAAGAAACACUGCUGAGUUUCCACUUCGUGAUGCUAUUCUGAAACUACACUAAGCUGCCAGAAGAGGUUCAGAAAAAUCUAGGAUACAGGGCAGAGAAAAUUCAUCUGUCAGAAUUUUUAAAAAGGGGCUCUUGCAGGGUCUGAACUGACUCUGAGGUUUCUGAAGAGCUGACUGAUCUCUGCUUUUCAGAAUUUAAGCACUUCAAACAAUAAUGGCCUUAUGAACCAAGAUAAUACACAUUUAGUGUCUGCUAUGUUAAAAUCUCUUCUUCUUUGGUAGGGAGACUCUUCUACUCAGUGCCAUCUUAUUUCCAUGCAUGCCCCCUCCCAAAAAAAAACCCCACCCAACAGUCUGGAGGUUGCACUACAGCAGGUGCUUAGUUUUUGCUUUGACAAUGCUUGUUUCUCCCAGCACAGGCAGCUCAGGCUGAGCUGGUACUCAGAAGCAGCUCUUGCUUAGAAGCUGGCGGAGCAGCUCAGUGUGGACACAGAUGUCCCACCAGAGGUGUACAGCAUUGCAAAGCCUGGGCCCAAGGACACAGAAUUAAGUAGGAUGGCCCUGCUGCUCUUAAGACUAAGCAAUAUUUUAAAGUGGCCAACGAUUAGUGGGUGAUGGCUGGUAAAUAAAUGAGCACACUGUGCUGUCAGAUAGCCAUUGCCAUGUAUUGACUGGUGGAGUUAUUCUGGAUGUGUACAGGUAGAGAAGAGAUCAGCAUCCUGCCUGCUAUAUGGGUUGUAAAUACAGAAUAGCAUAGCAUAUUAAAAUGAAAUGUGUGCCAGCCUUUUAUAUACAGCUUGUUUAACUUCAAAGGGGCUUCUAUAGCACAAAAGCCAUCUCAUUUACAAAAAAAAGCAAACCAAAAAUAAACAAAAAUACUCUUCAGAACUGAGAUCAUUUGCCUCCAUCUUAUACAUUGUAUACCUACUUAUAAUACGCAGUAUACCUACUUAUAUUAGUUCCAGUGUGACUCUAAUGAUAAGAAAAAUAGCAGUCCUAUAUUCACUUUUUUCCCACUGCACAUCCAUCUUCUGUAUUAGACACAUUUUACUCUACAGCCUUUCAAGAUUAUCCCUUUUUCCCUCUGAGUUGCUGUGUGUCUGAAGUCAGGCUUGUCCUUUGCUGUACAGACUGAGGAGGGGAAGAUAUGGAAACAUGGUCUGUGUUACCACACAUCCAUACACACAAGCCCCAAGCAUGUCUGGGAGCACAGGAGACCCCAGUGGCUGUGCAGCCCCCUGUCCAUCCCCCUUGUACUCAUCCUGCAGCUGCAACCAGGCUGGACAACAGCCUUUUUUCCCCCCACCCAUGCUGGAACUCCAACAGUGUGAAAAACAGAGUGCCAGGCAUGACAUGAGGUGAUCCCUGAUACAUCCUAUAUUACAGACUCCCUGGACUGUGUACCCAGGGGUCAGUGGGAAUCUGGAAGUCUAACAUGUCCAAGCAGUGUUUUCCUGGGUUUUUUUGAAGGAACGAAACCAGUUCCUAGUUUAAUAUGUAUAUGUGUGGGGAUGCUGCCCAUCCCACGAUCUGGGAAAGUUCAGAGAAUACAUCUAUUACAAAAGAACUGGGAAUGAAAAAUUCUUGUGAAAUUCAGCCUAUGUUCAUAGCCACACAAAAAGCAUAAAACCUCCUAAUUUCCUGGUCUUCAAGAGAGUCUGCCAGGAUAAAGAAAAUAUAGUUUACUAAUGUAAGAAAUAAGCACACUGUGUGAUAUUGAGCAGGGAAACUCUCACACAGAGGUCACAAGCCUUUGUUUAUAUUCUGCCUGGCUAGAAGCAUGUACCUUCCUUGGGAAAAAAAUGUGUUAUUGUUGAAUUAUUCAGUUUUACUUCAUUUACAUGCAGGUAUAGGUGGAUAUUCUCAGUUCAGUCAGAGAGAAAAGGAGACAUUUCUACCAGGCUUGGCCUGGGAAGAGUUUCAAAUUAAUGUAAAUAAUUCUCUAUCUCUCUUGUUGUUCACCUUGUUUAUAGAUAUGUUCUGCCACUGUGCAUCAUUCACAGCGCACCAAUGGCAUGCGAUACUCUUACUUUAAGACCAGUGAAAUCGGUCUGCAUGAUAUUCUCCAUAAAAAGAGCAGUGUAUUUUAAAUAAAUCAGUUCUCUUCUUGC